AGCGUAUUCUUUUGCCAAGACGGAGAUCUUUUUAGCUUCCUGUUCGUGGUAGACCUCAAUUACAGCGUCGACUUUAGCUUUCUGCCAGAGAGCACUUCCUGUGGAAUUUAACAACUAAGCCUUGUUAGGAUAAAGCAAGUUACAUUAAUUACAUUCAUUGCACCUACCAUGCACUUUAGCCAGUGUAGCGCGGUAAUACUUCUUAUUCUGCUCAAGGAUUGCUAAAUGUUUUGAAACGAACCUUCCCACAUACAACUUGCAUUUAUUCUCCAAUGUAGUAAUGUAUUCCUCAAUCUUCUGUUCACGGGUCUCAAGACACCCAACAGCGCUGUAAAAAGUCUAUGACAUCAUCACACACUUUGUUUGUCACAACGGUUUCAUUAUCGUUGCAUUUUCCCAAUGGAAGUUGUUGCAUCUUCCCAGUAUUGUUACAAUGGAAGUGACCCUGACAUCCAAGGUAACAACCUUCCUCAUCUGAACCAUCAUAACAAUCCUUGUGCCCGUUGCAUACCUGGCAAUACAUUGUGGGAUGUUGGUACACAGAAACCCCCUGCACCUUCCACCGUGGUAUAAACAAUUGAUUUCAUCGGAGCCUGCCACACAGUUCUUUACCCCGUCACAUACCUGGUGCAAGUGGGAAUUUCGGUAAAGAUUUUAAAGUCAUUGUAGCCAUCACAAGAUUGCUGCGGUGUAUUCACGCAGAAAGUGUUCUCUACUAACCCAAAGUACUCAUGAAAACACUCAACUUACGGUUUUGACAAGCGACAGUCACCCCUCCACAAGGAACAGAACACCUGGUCCCUGUGAACGCACCACCCACGCAACAAGAGGUGUCUACUUGACUUCUAUAAAAGUGUUUGUGACAUCACAGACCAUAGACAAGGAGACUUCCAUAUAAGGGAAAUGAUGAUUUGCAUCUGCAAUCACUCACCGGAUACUAUUACAUAACAAUGAUGAAACAACUGACAUACUUACACCACAGUUGAACUGACAUACUUACAAUUUCAUACAUCUGGAUUUUGCACGAAAUAAAGAUGUUUUUUAUCAAUUUAAAUGAAUUCAUUGUUGUAACUUCUUCUGAAGAUUGUUUUAGAUUGUGUUUUUGUUUAUUUAAUACAAUACACUUUUUGUUUUUUUUUUGCAUAUUCUAUAAUUUUCUUCCCCUUUUUCUAAUCCACAGUUCAACAUUACAUAGCAAUUAAAAUUGUAAAAGUGUUUCGUAGAUAUUUUGUUUUGUUUAAUACAAACGUUAAUGAUUUUAUCGCAAGUUUCGUAAUACACCAAUAUGCUGGUA